UGCAAAAAUUUGUUCUGGAGACGGACGCGCACUAAAAAAAAAUGAAAAAGAAAAAGAGAAAAAAAAAGAAAAAAGAAAAAAUAAAUUACGACGCUGCCUCGCAGAUUAGGCGUGCGCAUGGAACUUGUUUCACAAUUUGUGAAGCUUGUUUGGCGUACCGCGCUGGAAAAAGCGCGUGGAAGAAAAAUGCUUUGACCGCAAUAAAUGCAAUACAAAGUUUUUAUCUUUACGCGCGUUUUUUUCGCGCUAGGGCGUUAUGCCGUUUUGCCCUGACGGGUAUUAUAUUUCGAUAAUACCACAAGAUCAUUUUUUUUUUGAAAGUGAGUAUGCAUUAUUUUCUUAAUAUCCCUGCUAGCGGGAUUUUUGCCCUCCCCGUGAAUAAAAUCGGUGCUAGCAGGGAUAUAUGUAUGUGCACUAACUUUUGCACCCCAUCUCUAGAUGGUCGCUUAAUCUCUGGUCGUGAGAUAGCAGAAGCUUUUUUCUUCAGGGCAUUCGGUAAACUUAGGUGGACGACGAUUUUGUAACGGUAUCAAUAUGGCGACGUUUGCGCAAAUAAUAGUAUAGUAUAUUGUAGUAUCCGGCACUAAUUCCGGCUGACAUGCAUGGGCUGCGUUUUUUGGGCUGACAUAGAUUCCUUCGGCUGCAUUUCUUCCGGUAUAUCUUCUCCCAUACAUUUUCUCCGG